UACGAAGGGGGCUAGCGUUGCUCGGAAUCACUGGGCGUAAAGCGCACGUAGGCGGAUUGCUAAGUCAGGGGUGAAAUCCUGGAGCUCAACUCCAGAACUGCCUUUGAUACUGGCAAUCUCGAGUCCGGGAGAGGUGAGUGGAACUGCGAGUGUAGAGGUGAAAUUCGUAGAUAUUCGCAAGAACACCAGUGGCGAAGGCGGCUCAUUGGCCCGGUACUGACGCUGAGGUGCGAAAGCGUGGGGAGCAAACAGG
rnacentral:rRNA from 1 species